GGCACAAAGCUGCCCUUAAGAUGGUAGCUCGCCCUCAUGGGGUGUCGGGGGUCGGAGGUUCAAAUCCUCUCGUGCCG
rnacentral:tRNA from 2 species